rnacentral:rRNA from 1 species
GAUGAGUAGGGCGGGACACGUGGUAUCCUGUCUGAAUAUGGGGGGACCAUCCUCCAAGGCUAAAUACUCCUGACUGACCGAUAGUGAACCAGUACCGUGAGGGAAAGGCGAAAAGAACCCCGGCGAGGGGAGUGAAAAAGAACCUGAAACCGUGUACGUACAAGCAGUGGGAGCACAGGUUUACCUGUGUGACUGCGUACCUUUUGUAUAAUGGGUCAGCGACUUAUAUUCUGUAGCAAGGUUAACCGAAUAGGGGAGCCGGAGGGAAACCGAGUCUUAAUUGGGCGUUAAGUUGCAGGGUAUAGACCCGAAACCCGGUGAUCUAGCCAUGGGCAGGUUGAAGGUUGGGUAACACUAACUGGAGGACCGAACCGACUAA